GACGAACGCUGGCGGCGUGCUUAACACAUGCAAGUCGAGCGGAAAGGCCCUGCUUUUGUUGGGUGCUCGAGUGGCGAACGGGUGAGUAACACGUGAGUAACCUGCCCUUGACUUUGGGAUAACUUCAGGAAACUGGGGCUAAUACCGGAUAGGAGCUCCUGCUGCAUGGUGGGGGUUGGAAAGUUUCGGCGGUUGGGGAUGGACUCGCGGCUUAUCAGCUUGUUGGUGGGGUAGUGGCUUACCAAGGCUUUGACGGGUAGCCGGCCUGAGAGGGUGACCGGCGACAUUGGGACUGAGAUACGGCCCAGACUCCUACGGGAGGCAGCAGUGGGGAAUAUUGCACAAUGGGCGGAAGCCUGAUGCAGCAACGCCGCGUGCGGGAUGACGGCCUUCGGGUUGUAAACCGCUUUCGCCUGUGACGAAGCGUGAGUGACGGUAAUGGGUAAAGAAGCACCGGCUAACUACGUG
rnacentral:rRNA from 1 species